UCUCCUCAGCCAUGGUCAGUGCGAAUACCAUGCUGGGCAGCCGAAAAUGGAAGUAAACUUGUGCGGAUACCGCGUGGCCAAGAUAGCCUUGAUCUACCAUUACCUGCUGGUGUGACACAUGUAACUGCUGAAGCUGCGACCGAGAUUUUAGAGCUGAAUGCUGGGUUGAAUGCCGUACUUUUUUCAACUUCAUUGGAAGCAAGCAUAGAGAUCAGUCGCCUACGGCAAGAGAUUGACAAAUUGAAGAACACCUCGGGAACAACCAUUGGAAGUUCAGGUAUUGGUGAAGACGUCAUAGAUGAUGAUGCGGAACAUGAGAUUCGCACAAAAUUUAAAGCUGACCACCUAGGUACAAAAGGGAAGACAAAAAUUGUGAUACCAGAAGAGCAUGAAGAAGAUGAGGAAGAGGAAGAAGAAGAGGAAGAAGAGGAAGAUGAAGAGGAAGAUGAAGACGAUGGUUGGAUCGACGAGACAGACGUUGGGGAUGAGGAUGAGCAAGCCGAUGAGGACGAGGUUGGGGAUGAGGAUGAGGAAGCCGAUGACGGCGGGGCGGCAGCAAAGGGUAAUCUGACUGCAGAACAAGACUCCCCACUCCAAAAAGGCAAAGUUCAGAAAUGUCUU